rnacentral:rRNA from 1 species
GACGAACGUUGGCGGCGUGCUUAAUACAUGCAAGUCGAGUGAAGCAGUGGUAGCAAGCUCGCUGUGGAGGUGGCGCGCGGGGGAGUAACACGUGUGAAAUCUACCUUAAGUUCUGGCAUAACUCCGAGAAACCGGGGCUAAUAACAGAUGAUGCAGAGGAUCGACCUCGAGACAGUUGGUAAAGCUAUAGCGACUGAUGAUGAGCCGGCGGCUGAUUAGCUAGUUGGCGGGGUAACGGACCACCAAGGCAACGAGCAGUAGCUGGUAAGAGAGGCUGACCCGCAACACUACAACUGCGACCCGGACAAGACUACUACGGGAGGCAGUAGUAAGGAAUAUUGAUCAAUGGGAGAAAUGAUGAAGCAGCAACGCGGCGUGAGGGACGACGCGCUUUUGUUUGUAAACCUCUGUAGUGAGAGAAAAAAAUCCCAAUCUUUGGGACAUGAUGGUAUCUUAAAAGUAAGCCCCGGCUAACUACGUG